GACGAAGGGGGCUAGCGUUGUUCGGAAUUACUGGGCGUAAAGCGCGUGUAGGCGGUUAUCCAGGUCGGGUGUGAAAGCCUUGAGCUCAACUCAAGAAAUGCACUCGGUACUGGGUGACUAGAGGACCGGAGAGGAUAGUGGAAUUCCCAGUGUAGUGGUGAAAUACGUAGAGAUUGGGAAGAACACCAGUGGCGAAGGCGGCUAUCUGGACGGUUUCUGACGCUAAGACGCGAAAGCGUGGGGAGCAAACAGG
rnacentral:rRNA from 1 species